CGGGACGGGUGAGUAACGCGUGGGUAACCUGCCCCAUACAGGGGGAUAACAGUUAGAAAUGACUGCUAAUACCGCAUAAGCGCACUGCAUCGCAUGAUGAAGUGUGAAAAACUGAGGUGGUAUGGGAUGGGCCCGCGUCUGAUUAGCCAGUUGGCGGGGUAACGGCCCACCAAAGCGACGAUCAGUAGCCGACCUGAGAGGGUGACCGGCCACAUUGGGACUGAGACACGGCCCAAACUCCUACGGAAGGCAGCAG
rnacentral:rRNA from 1 species